CCUACGGGUGGCAGCAGUCGAGAAUCAUUCACAAUGGGGGAAACCCUGAUGGCGCGACGCCGCGUGGGGGAAUGAAGGUCUCCGGAUUGUAACCCCCUGUCAUGUGGGAGCAAAUUAAAAAGAUAGUACCCCAAGAGGAAGAGACGGCUAACUCUGUGCCAGCAGCCGCGGUAAUACAGAGGUCUCAAGCGUUGUUCGGAAUCACUGGGCGUAAAGCGUGCGUAGGCUGUUUCGUAAGUCGUGUGUGAAAGGCGCGGGCUCAACCCGUGGAUGGAACGUGAUACGGCGAGACUAGAGUAAUGGAGGGGGAAGCGGAAUUCGCGGUGUAGCAGUGAAAUGCGUAGAUAGCGAGAGGAACA
rnacentral:rRNA from 1 species